UGACCCUCCCUGCCGUGCAGAGCUGCCCGCAGCCACCGGCUCCUCCUGGACACCAGACACCUUGGCCAGCUCCUCCGCGGGGGACCGAGAGCCGAGGACCCCGUCCAGGGGCCGCAAGUCCAAGCGGGACAUCUUUGACGUGGACUUCCUGUCGUCAGAGGAUUCGGACAACUCUUCCAACGAAGACGUGGACGUGGAGGGCAUCUCCGUGCAGGGAGGAUCCGACUGAAGAGGAAACCCCCCACCCCGUGAUGAGCUCCCCCUCCGUUGCUGUGUUCUGUCCCCCGUGGCUACCCACUCCUGGGGCCGGGGGGCCGGUCGCCUCCGAGUACGGCCGACCCGGGCCCUCCAGGUCUCUAGGCAAUGACAGCGACCCCUGCCAUCUGCACCCGUGGAUCCGAACCCCUUCUGUGGGGAGAGGGCUGUGUGACAGCUGACCGGGACCUUGGGAUGCCCACCCAGGUGCCUACCAGCUGGCAGCUUUCUCUCCGGGCGACUGCUGUGCUUGGCUGGACGGUUCCAGAACCAGCUGUGUUCUCCGCCGUGGAGCAUGGUGCUGGGUCCCUCGUCCUCGCGGUCCUACGUGCGGCGGCUCUGGGUGGGCCGCCGGCUGUUCCUGUCACAGCCCAGGGCCUCGCUGUCGGGCAUUUUGUGACGUCCGGAGCUGUGGGGCAGCUGCGGGGCAGGGAGGGCCCCGGGGAGGCUGCGGUCUGGUCAGCACGGGGACGCUCCAGACAGAUCGGCUGUGCGGACUUGGGGCAGGGGCCUGGGCUGGAUGCUUUUGGGUCACCCUCCCCCGGACAUGCAGGGUGGGGCCUUCUGCCCUUCCAAUCUCGUGUUGGUGCCAAACCACAGACCCUUCUCGGCCACUGUGUAGAGGGGCACGGCCCCCCGCGCCUCCCACACGGGGAACCAGCGCCC